rnacentral:lncRNA from 1 species
UCCCAACGGCUAUAAACGGCUAGUUUCUUCAAUCCAACGGUCAGAAAGGACUAUUUGGAGGUUGGAGAAGUAUUUAAGAGGGAGUAUUCAUCAGAGGAAGUAAGCUUUUGGGAAAAUACAUCAAGUGCAUUCAAGAGAGAACCCUAGCAAGGCAAGCUUCAUCCAAGUGCUUCAUUCAAGAGUCAAAAGAAAGGGGUUGAGCAGAUUUAAAGAGUCAUCAAGAGCUCCAUCCUCCCUUGAAGAGUGAAGCAUCCUUGACAAAGAAGAGAGAAGCCACUUCAAAGCGAUAAAUAUUUUCUAAACUCUUCUUUGUAGUUCAUAUUGUUUCAUUUGCUCAUUUAGG